rnacentral:hammerhead_ribozyme from 1 species
AGCCGAAACGGGAGGGGGCUUCCCUCCCGUUGUCCCCGGGUGGCCUCCGGGGACCUGACGAGGCAGGCUGGG